GUGGGGAAUAUUGGACAAUGGGGGCAACCCUGAUCUAGCCAUGCCGCGUGAGUGAUGAAGGCCUUAGGGUCGUAAAGCUCUUUCGCCGGGGAAGAUAAUGACUGUACCCGGUAAAGAAACCCCGGCUAACUCCGUGCCAGCAGCCGCGGUAAUACGGAGGGGGUUAGCGUUGUUCGGAAUUACUGGGCGUAAAGCGCGCGUAGGCGGAUCGGAAAGUUGGGGGUGAAAUCCCGGGGCUCAACCCCGGAAUUGCCUUCAAAACUCCCGGUCUUGAGGUCGAGAGAGGUGAGUGGAAUUCCGAGUGUAGAGGUGAAAUUCGUAGAUAUUCGGAGGAACACCAGUGGCGAAGGCGGCUCACUGGCUCGAUACUGACGCUGAGGUGCGAAAGCGUGGGGAGCAAACAGGAUUAGAAACCCUAGUAGUCC
rnacentral:rRNA from 1 species